rnacentral:tRNA from 1 species
GGGCCUAUAGCCCAGCUGGUUAGAGCGCUCGCUCCACAGGCGAGAGGUCGGAGGUUCAAAUCCUCCUAGGCCUA